AUACGUAGGGGGCGAGCGUUGUCCGGAAUGACUGGGCGUAAAGGGCGCGUAGGUGGCCUUUCAAGUCUGGAGUGAAAGUCCCGCUUUCAAGGUGGGAAUGGCUUUGGAAACUGAGAGGCUUGAGUGUGGGAGAGGAUAGCGGAAUUCCCGGUGUAGCGGUGAAAUGCGUAGAGAUCGGGAGGAACACCAGUGGCGAAGGCGGCUAUCUGGACCAAGACUGACACUGAAGCGCGAAAGCGUGGGUAGCAAACAGGAUUAGAUACCCUGGUAGUCCACGCGGUAAACGAUGGAUGCUAGGUGUAGGAGGUAUCGACCCCUUCUGUGCCGGAGUUAACACAAUAAGCAUCCCGCCUGGGGAGUACGGCCGCAAGGUUGA
rnacentral:rRNA from 1 species